CUUCCGGCAGCACCAGAUAAGUCGCGAGAGGAGCUUUCAAUCCUGUCGUUUGCGUUUAGGACCACUUUCGGUUCAUGAUGGUCCGCAGUGGAAAAAAUGGUGACCUUCAUCUUAAGCAGAUUGCAUAUUAUAAACGAACUGGUGAAUAUCAUCCAACUACACUACCGAGUGAGAGAAGUGGCAUAAGAAGAGCAGCAAAAAAAUUUAUCUUCAGAGAAAAAAAGCUGUUUUAUGUUGGAAAAGACAGAAAACAAAAUCGUUUGGUAAUUGUUUCAGAAGAAGAGAAAAAGAAAGUCCUGAGAGAGUGCCAUGAAAAUGACACCGGAGCCCAUCAUGGCAUAUCCAGGACCCUCACUCUAGUGGAAUCCAGUUAUUAUUGGACUUCUGUGACCAAUGAUGUCAAACAGUGGGUAUAUGCUUGUCAGCAUUGCCAAGUGGCAAAAAACACAGUUAUUCUCGCACCUAAACAGCACUUUCUCAAGGUGGAGAAUCCAUGGAGUAUAGUUACUGUUGAUCUGAUGGGCCCAUUUCAUGCAAGCAACAGAAGUCAUGUGUAUGCUAUAAUCAUGACAGAUUUAUUCACAAAAUGGGUUGUGAUUUUGCCUCUCUGUGAUGUCUUACCGUCAGAAAUUUCUAAAGCUAUUAUCAAUAUAUUUUUCUUAUAUGGACCGCCACAGAAAAUAAUGAUGGACCAAAGAGAGGAGUUCAUUCAUGAGAUUAAUGUUGAACUAUCUGGAUUGUUUGGCACAAAGAAAAUUGUAAUUUCUCACCCCUCCCAAACUGUUACUCAAACUGAAAGUACACUUAGCACAAUCAAAGCAUUUCUUUCUAAACACUGUGCUGACCACCCAAACAACUGGGAUGAUCACCUAUCAGCCAUUUCAUUUGCCUUCAAUGUAACUCACUUGGAGCCUACUAAAAAUACACCGUAUUUUCAAAUGUUUCAUCGAAAUCCUUAUAUGCCUGAGACUUCAGAUAUUCUUCAUGAAGCGGAUGGUGAUGAUACAAGUAUGUUUGCCAAAAUUCUAGAUGCAGUUAAAGAAGCUGGUAAAUUGUCAAUAAUGGAGAGUAAGACAGCGUCAGGAAGACAGGUGGAGAACAACAAUUUUGAGGAACUAAAUAAAAACAAAAUCAUUGUUAAAAAGAAACCAAAGCAGUUAAAUCCAUUUCAUCUGAAAGUGGGUCAUGAAGUUUUAAGACAAAGGAAGAAUUGGUGGAAGGAUGGUCGUUUUCAGUCUGAAUGGGUUGGUCCUUGUGUCAUAGACUAUAUUACCGAGAGCGGAUGUGCUGUUCUGAGAGACAGCACUGGGACUAGACUUAAAAGACCAAUCAAAAUGUCCCACCUGAAGCCCUAUGUAAGAGAGUCCAGUGAACAAGACAGUCUUUAUCUCUUACAAGGUUCAGUAGUGGCAGAUCACGACUACAUCGGAUUGCCUGAAAUUCCAAUUGGAGCAUACCAAGCAAAUAUUCUGGUAGAAGAUGCAACUAUUGGCAUAGUCGAUAAUGAAUUACUGACAUCAAGCAAAGAUGGUGAACUAUUAGAAUAUAGAAGUGCCAAAAUCUCUCCAUUGAUGGAAGAUCAUGGUACUCUUGAAAAGCAGACUUUUAGUCUGUUGGACUCUUCAAACCAAGUCCUUGAGUACUUAAGGAGAAGUUUGAACACAGACUCAAGGGGAAUGCCGUGUGAAGAGGAAGGCAGGGAAUGGGCAGAUAUCUUCUACAGGGCAAAGAAUGCCAAAAAUUACCAGCAAAACUCCAGGAACUAAAGACAAGCUGAUGGAGCCUCACCUGUGGAUUACCAGCCACCAUGGCAGGGGGAGAACAUGGUGAACCCAGCACUAGCUAUGAAGAGACUUGCUGUCGUGUCAUGCACAACCUUCCUACUCCAAUUACAGCGGUCAAGCCUGGUCUUACACUGCUAACAGGUUCCCAGAAUUCUUGGACUCUUGAGCCCUGCACUGAUGAGUGGCAAAGCAGGGCGAGCUGGACUCAGCUCUUUGUCCCUGCGCCAUCCUCUCCCACGGAUACCCCACCCCAGCUCCUGCAGGUGUGCUGCUCCAACAGUCCAGACCUUUGGAAUGUGCUUUCUGGCUUCAUCCACUGUCCUGGGAUGGACUGGGAAGGCCUUGGAAGAGGUUCUCCAGGUAUAUCCCCAAAGUAUUUGAAAGCUGGGAUUGGAAAAGAUACUUCUACACCAAUGUUUAUUGCAGCAUUAUUCACAAUAGC